rnacentral:rRNA from 1 species
ACGGCUCAGUAACACGUGGACAACCUACCCUCAGCACGGGGAUAAACCCGGGAAACUGGGUAUAAUACCCGAUAGUUCUGGUUAGCUGGAAUGCUAUCAGGACGAAGCUCCGGCGGCCGAGGAUGGGUCUGCGGCCUAUCAGGUAGUAGUGGGUGUAACGUACCUACUAGCCUACGACGGGUACGGGUUGUGAGAGCAAGAGCCCGGAGAUGGAUUCUGAGACACGAAUCCAGGCCCUACGGGGUGCAGCAGGCGCGAAAACUUUACAAUGCUGGCAACAGCGAUAAGGGGACCUCGAGUGCCAGGAUACAAUCUUGGCCGUCGUGAUGCCUAAAAAGCAUUGCAUAGCAAGGGCCGGGCAAGACCGGUGCCAGCCGCCGCGGUAACACCGGCGGCUCGAGUGGUAACCGCUAUUAUUGGGUCUAAAGGGUCUGUAGCCGGCCGGAUAAGUCUUUUGGGAAAUCCAGCUGCUCAACAGUUGGGCUUUCAGAAGAUACUGUUCGGCUCGAGGCCGGGAGAGGUGAGAGGUACUUCAGGGGUAGGGGUGAAAUCUUGUAAUCCUUGAAGGACCACCAGUGGCGAAGGCGUCUCACCAGAACGGACCUGACGGCAAGGGACGAAAGCUAGGGGCACGAACCGGAUUAGAUACCCGGGUAGUCCUAGCCGUAAACGAUACUCGCUAGGUGUCAGCCACGGUGCGACCGUGGUUGGUGCCGUAGGGAAGCCGUGAAGCGAGCCACCUGGGAAGUACGGCCGCAAGGCUGAAACUUAAAGGAAUUGGCGGGGGAG